UUAAACUGAAGAGUUUGAUCAUGGCUCAGAUUGAACGCUGGCGGCAGGCUUAACACAUGCAAGUCGAGCGGUAACAGGGGGAGCUUGCUCCCCGCUGACGAGCGGCGGACGGGUGAGUAAUGCA
rnacentral:rRNA from 1 species